ACCAUGCAGUCGAGCGGUAAGGCUCCUUCGGGAGUACACGAGCGGCGAACGGGUGAGUAACACGUGAGCAAUCUGCCCUUCUCAUCGGAAUAAGCGUUGGAAACGACGUCUAAUGCCGAAUAUGACCUCCUUUCGCAUGUUAGGAGGUGGAAAGCUCCGGCGGAGAAGGAUGAGCUCGCGGCCUAUCAGCUAGUUGGUGAGGUAAUGGCUCACCAAGGCGACGACGGGUAGCCGGCCUGAGAGGGUGACCGGCCACACUGGGACUGAGACACGGCCCAGACUCCUACGGGAGGCAGCAGUGGGGAAUAUUGGACAAUGGGCGAAAGCCUGAUCCAGCAACGCCGCGUGAGGGAUGACGGCCUUCGGGUUGUAAACCUCUUUCAGCGGGGACGAAGCGAAAGUGACGGUACCCGCAGAAGAAGGACCGGCCAACUACGUGCCAGCAGCCGCGGUAAUACGUAGGGUCCGAGCGUUGUCCGGAAUUAUUGGGCGUAAAGGGCUCGUAGGCGGUUUGUCGCGUCGGGAGUGAAAACUCAGGGCUCAACCCUGAGCGUGCUUCCGAUACGGGCAGACUAGAGGUAUGCAGGGGAGAACGGAAUUCCUGGUGUAGCGGUGGAAUGCGCAGAUAUCAGGAGGAACACCGGUGGCGAAGGCGGUUCUCUGGGCAUUACCUGACGCUGAGGAGCGAAAGCAUGGGGAGCGAACAGGAUUAGAUACCCUGGUAGUCCAUGCCGUAAACGUUGGGCGCUAGGUGUGGGGACCUUCCACGGUCUCCGUGCCGCAGCUAACGCAUUAAGCGCCCCGCCUGGGGAGUACGGCCGCAAGGCUAAAACUCAAGGAAU
rnacentral:rRNA from 1 species